rnacentral:rRNA from 1 species
UGCCAGACUCCUACGGGAGGCAGCAGUGGGGAAUAUUGCACAAUGGGGGAAACCCUGAUGCAGCAACGCCGCGUGAGUGAAGAAGUAUUUCGGUAUGUAAAGCUCUAUCAGCAGGGAAGAAAAUGACGGUACCUGAGUAAGAAGCCCCGGCUAACUACGUGCCAGCAGCCGCGGUAAUACGUAGGGGGCAAGCGUUAUCCGGAUUUACUGGGUGUAAAGGGAGCGUAGACGGCGAUACAAGUCUGAAGUGAAAGCCCGGGGCUCAACCCCGGGACUGCUUUGGAAACUGUGUUGCUGGAGUGCUGGAGAGGCAAGCGGAAUUUCUAGUGUAGCGGUGAAAUGCGUAGAUAUUAGGAAGAACACCAGUGGCGAAGGCGGCUUGCUGGACAGUAACUGACGUUGAGGCUCGAAAGCGUGGGGAGCAAACAGGAUUAGAUACCCUAGUAAG